rnacentral:rRNA from 1 species
UACGGGGGGGGCAAGCGUUGUUCGGAAUUACUGGGCGUAAAGGGCUCGUAGGCGGCCAACUAAGUCAGACGUGAAAUCCCUCGGCUUAACCGGGGAACUGCGUCUGAUACUGGAUGGCUUGAGUUUGGGAGAGGGAUGCGGAAUUCCAGGUGUAGCGGUGAAAUGCGUAGAUAUCAUUUGGAACGCCAAUGGUGAAAACAGGUAGCUGGGGCUGUGCUGACGCUGAGGAGCGAAAGCGUGGGGAGCGAACAGG